UACGUAGGGGGCGAGCGUUGUUCGGAAUUACUGGGCGUAAAGCGCGCGUAGGCGGCUUUGUAAGUUAGAGGUGAAAGCCCGGAGCUCAACUCCGGAACUGCCUUUAAGACUGCAUCGCUAGAAUUGUGGAGAGGUGAGUGGAAUUCCGAGUGUAGAGGUGAAAUUCGUAGAUAUUCGGAAGAACACCAGUGGCGAAGGCGACUCACUGGACACAUAUUGACGCUGAGGUGCGAAAGCGUGGGGAGCAAACAGG
rnacentral:rRNA from 1 species